rnacentral:lncRNA from 1 species
UGGUCAGACUGUGGCGAGGUCCCGCAGGAGGUUAAGGACAUGGUCCACAACGCGAUGUCGGUGAGUUUACAAAAUAAUAUUAUGUAUUACAUUGUUGAUUUCUCGAAAAACUAAACCAAUAAAUGGUUAAAUGCAGGUGUGGUUUGAGGUUCCCGAGCACCUGAAGGACAGCUGGGCCGACGUUGUGCAUGGGGGAAGGUACGUUGGGAAGUUAAUGAAAAACAAAAUUGUAUGUGAUAUUAAUAAUAUUUCUAAUAUUUUUGUUGUAUCUGUAGGUACAAGGAGUGGAAGAACGAGUUGCGGACCCACUGGACUACGCACGGGAACGCACGUUCUGGUACCCCUGCUGAGUUCCAGUACAGGGAGUACGAGUGGCGUUGGCUUCUGAUAUCAGAAUUCAACAACCCUCGUAAACAGGUAUUUAAAAAAAUUAAUUAGUUAAUUUGUCAUUAAGUACGUCCGUUUUUAAAUAUUUUACUAAUAAUUUAUUUUUUCUUUAAAGGCCGUUUCCUGAGCGAACUAUCAGAACCGGCAACGCAACACAAGGAACCAUCAUGGCGGUUCUAGACCGUUCGCUGUCUUCAUGGACGAAGCGGCCAGGGAACAUCCAAAAGUCAACCGGUACGUCUAUACGUACGAGAAGGCAUAUCCUGACACCCAAGAGGAUAUUGUAAGUCAUCUUACGUUUUUAAAUUUUUAAAUUUUUAAAUUUACUUAUAUAUAUGUCAAAAUGUUAAUUAAUAAUUUUUUUCCUAUCCAUAUAGGCGAAGGUGAGGGAGGCUAGUGACGAGGUGAUGAGUGCUAUAGUGAGGGAGACAUGGCCGGACACGCAGGAGGAAGAGAUGUCCGAAGCCAUGUCCCGGAUCGACAUUUCGGAUCCGACGAUUGGGGCGAGGAUCAUGGGCACAGCCUUCCCACCGAGAGCAAACAACUUCUACUGUCGGGGUCUAGGAAAGAAAGGCGAAGGGGUCCUAAAGACCACUCCAGGAUUUCAACGAAAUGCAGCCUCGACCAGCAGCAGGACCACGUCCACGACCACCAGGACGACUCAGCUAGAGUCGGAAGUUCAGAGACUACGAGAACAGCAAGCUGCUCAGGCUGCCUAUAAUACCUCGCAGGCAGCCUAUAAUACCGCGCAGGCAGCCUAUGUUGCCGAGAUACAUGCCAUCUAGCAGGCCCAGCAGCAACAGAUGUUCCAGUACAUGCAGGACUUUACAGCUGCCCAGCUUCAGGGACUUCCGGCUCCGCCCAUGCCUACGGCUAUACCGCUACCCCAGCCGCCGCAACCUCCGCAGCAACCUCCGCAGCAGCCCCCAGAAGCGGAUAUUAAUUUAGACGAUUUAGAUUUUGUGUAGUUGAUGAAUUAUAUAGUUUUAUGUGCUUGUUGUUGGUUAUAUGNNNN